rnacentral:tRNA from 1 species
GUGGACGUAGCUCAGUCGGUAGAGCCCUGGACUGUGGAUCCAGUCGUCGCGGGUUCAAUUCCCGUCGUCCACC